GUGGAUGUAGCUCAGUUGGUUAGAGCACAGGAUUGUGGCUCCUGGGGCCGUGGGUUCAAAUCCCGUCAUCCACCCCA
rnacentral:tRNA from 1 species